UCUUUGCCUGAAGGAACUACUGUACUUAUUAUUUUACGUAAUACGUACAUAAACAAAAUGCAGAAUGAAUGCACUUUUAGGCGUAAAAGUUUUAUUAGCGAGAUGUCAUCAUCAUCAGCCUGGUUACGCCCACUGCAGGGCAAAGGCCUCUCCCAUACUUCUCCAACAAGAUGUAUGUCAUAAAAAAGGUAUAAAUUGCCAAACUCAAGAUUGUGGGAUAAAUAUGAAAAAAGUUUGUAAAGGCAUGCUUGUAUCUACUAAGACAAAAAUGUAACAAAAAUUAUGAGAUAUACAAAAUGUAUUGCCAUCUAAUAGGCAUUAUCUCUGAAAAAAAAAAAUCAAAAUUUUUUAUUGAACAGUUAUUCCAUUACAAAAAUAUAAGUACAAGCACUACAGUUUGGCACGAUGCGCUGCAGUCACCGAUGUUUCGGGCUGGCUUGCGUCGGCAUCGCUCCCAGAGUCAGAGUCCAACAAAAAGGCAGCAUCCUCAGACUCACUGUUGCUCAAUCCAUUGAUAAAAUCAGCCGCUGAUGCAACAUAAUCACGAGAUCUGCGAUCCUUCUAAGCGAGCACACCGUUCCUGUAGGCGGCCAUUUUCGCUUUCUACUUUGACGAUUGUGAAACUUCAGAGUGUGUUCAAAAAUUAACUGCUAGCAGGGAAAAAGCAAACUGCUUAGAAAACAAAACUAUGGUUCUCCUCUUUCACUUCCUAUGGCAUAGAGUGUUCGUGAGCGACGCAAAAGGUCUCAAAAGCGGCAUUUCAAACCAUCGGUAGUGGGCAGUCAUUAUCGCUUUCUACUUUGACGCUCGCAAUAACAUUGGAGCACAUUCAAAAAACACUGACUGAUGGGGGGGGGGGGGGGGCUAACUGCUUAGAUAACAAAAAUAUAGUUCUCGUUCACAUACAGUAGCAUAGUGUGUCCGUGAGCAGUGCAGAAGGUCUUUAAAGCGGCGUUUUAAACCAUCGAUAGUGGGCGGUCAUUUUUGCUUUCUACUUUGACAAUCGCAAAAACAUCGAAGCAUGUUCGAAAAUCACUGCCUGGGGGGAAAAGGCGAACUGUUUAGAAGACAAAACUAUAGUUCUGCUCAUUCAAGUACGAUAAGGCAGUGUGUCCGUGAGCAACACAGAAUGUCUAUAAAGCAGCAUUUCAAACCAUCGUUAGCGGGCUAACGAUGCCCAAUGGGCCCGGUAUGAAAAGAAUUAAGGUGCAUUCACACCGGCCAAGAGGGAAAGCGGGGAGCAGCAAAAAGCAUGCGGGUUUUCAACGUGGCGUGGCGGCACGCGAGGAGUUGUUCAGACCGCCCGCCUGGCCUAGCUGCUCGCGCCGCCGCUCGCGGAGCCUCGCGCUUUCACAAACGCCCCGAGAGCUUGCACCGCUUUCGACAAACAAGCUGUUUGCACGUUUUCGCUGCUCUCGCUUGCUAACCACUUGUGAAGAAUGAUCAGCUCGGACGAAGAAGACGAAAUAGUUUGCAUUCUGCUCGUAGCAGCUGUUCAAGACAAGCAGCAGAACGCUCGAAGGAAGACAGCCCGCCAACGCCGCUGGUGGGUUCGCCCCGCCUUGCAAGAAUGAGAGAGAAUGGGUCAUGCCAAUGCUUUGCUGCCCCAUCUUCGUUCGCGGGAUGUGGAAUACUACAGAGAUUAUUUGAGGAUGCCCCCGCGCUCCUUCGACACAUUAUUACAACUCCUGAAACCAAGGAUACAGAAAGCUGACACAAACUACCGAAGGGCAAUUCCUCCAGAGCACCGGCUAGCACUAGCUGUCAGGUUCCUGGCUGCAGGGGAGACGCUGCGCUCCUCAUCUUUCAAUUUUCCAUCUGGCCGCUCUACGGCUUGCAUGAUUGUCGCCGAAGUAUACCAGGCCAUUUCGGACGUCUUCGGGCCGAUUUACGUCGCUUAGCCGUCCACACCGGAUGAAUGGCUAAAGGUAACCUAUUCGUUGUCGUCUAUGCAUGGUUAAUGUUGCUGUAGAUAUUGCUGUACACUGACUGUAUUGCACAAAUAAUUGCAACAUUUGGUAGGAAAGUUAUUUAUAAUAAAAUUUAAU
rnacentral:lncRNA from 1 species